rnacentral:rRNA from 1 species
GUCGAGCGCUGGCGGCGUGCUUAACACAUGCAAGUCGAACGGUGAAGCGCCUUCCUUUUUGGUGGGUGUGGAUGAGUGGCGAACGGGUGAGUAACACGUGAGUAACCUGCCCCCUUCUUCUGGAUAACCGCAUGAAAGUGUGGCUAAUACGGGAUAUUCUGGGUCUGUCGCAUGAUGGGUCUGGGAAAGAUAUUGUUUCGGUGGGGGAUGGGCUCGCGGCCUAUCAGCUUGUUGGUGGGGUGAUGGCCUACCAAGGCGGUGACGGGUAGCCGGCCUGAGAGGGUGGACGGUCACACUGGGACUGAGACACGGCCCAGACUCCUACGGGAGGCAGCAGUGGGGAAUAUUGCACAAUGGGCGCAAGCCUGAUGCAGCGACGCCGCGUGAGGGAUGGAGGCCUUCGGGUUGUGAACCUCUUUCGCCAGUGAAGCAGGCCUGCCUCGUUUGUGGGUGGGUUGACGGUAGCUGGAUAAGAAGCGCCGGCUAACUACGUG